GCAAGAUUAAAACUCAAAGGAAUAGACGGGGACCCGCACAAGUGGUGGAGCAUGUGGUUUAAUUCGAAGAUACGCGAAGAACCUUACCUAGCCUUGACAUUGAUAGAAUCUUCCAGAGAUGGAGGAGUGCCUUUCGGGGAACUUGAAAACAGGUGCUGCACGGCUGUCGUCAGCUCGUGUCGUGAGAUGUUGGGUUAAGUCCCGCAACGAGCGCAACCCUCGUCAUUAGUUACUAACAGUUCGGCUGAGGACUCUAAUGAGACUGCCUUCGUAAGGAGGAGGAAGGUGAGGACGACGUCAAGUCAUCAUGGCCCUUACGGCUAGGGCGACACACGUGCUACAAUGGUUAGGACAAUGAGAAGCGAUACCGCGAGGUGGAGCAAAUCUAUAAACCUAAUCUCAGUUCGGAUUGUAGUCUGCAACUCGACUACAUGAAGCUGGAAUCACUAGUAAUCGUAGAUCAGCCAUGCUACGGUGAAUACGUUCCCGGGUCUUGUACUCACCGCCCGUCACACCAUGGGAGUUGAUUUCACCCGAAGCGGGGAAGCUAAACUGGCUACCCUCCACGGUGGAAUUAGCGACUGGGGUGAAGUCGUAACAAGGU
rnacentral:rRNA from 1 species